UGUGGCUGUGGCUGUGGUGUAGGCCAGUGGCUACAGCCUCGAUUUGACCCUUGGCCUGGGAACCUCCAUAUGACACUGGAGCCGCCCAAGAAAUGGCAAAAAGACAAAAAAAAUUUACUUGACUGAAGUAGAGUUGAUUUACGAUGUUGUGUUAGUUUCAGGCGUACAGCAAAGUGACUCGUGUAUUUGUGUGUGUGUGUGUGUGUGUACACGUAUAUCUGAUGUGUAUGUAUAUACACACACAUCCUUUUUCAUACUCCUUUCCAGGGUGGUUUGUCACAGGAUGCUGAAUGUAGUUCGCUGUAGGGCAGGAGCCUGUUGUUUGUCCAUCCUGCAUACGUCUGCCUCUGCAAGACCCAAGCUCACUCCCAGUCCUUCCCUGCCCCACCCGCCUCCCCUUCGGCAGCCACAAGUCUGUUCCCUCUGUCCCAGAGUCUGCUUCUGCCUCGUAGACACGUUCGUUUGUGUUGAGUGUUUGUGAAGUUUCGUUAGAGUUGCUUUACGCGGGUGUGAUCAUGUCCGCUCUGCAACAACGUGAUUCAGGGACCCCUGUACCCACAGCCUUUCUCUCCCAGAUUCUCUUCCCACACAGAGGAUCCCAGAAUAUCGGGUAGAGGUCUCUGGGCUGCACGGCAGGUCCCCACUGGCCAGGACAACUCAGCGUACAGAUGCCAGUCCCAAACCCCAGGCUAUCUCUCCUCCCCCACAACUGUCCGCUUUGGUAACCGUACGCUUGUUUUCGAAGUCUGCCUGUCUGUUUCUGUUCUGCAGAUCAGUUUGUGCCACAUUUGAGACGCCACGUAUAAAUGAUAUCAUGUGACAUUUGUCUUCCACUGUCUGACUGACCUCACUUAGCAGGAGCAUCUCUAGGUCCGUCCCUGUUGCUGCAAACGGCAUCAUUUCACUCUUUUUACGGCUAACACUCCAUCGUGUAUAUGGACUACGUCUUCUUGAUCCAGUCCUCUGUUGAUGGACGUUUGGGGUGCUUCCAUGUCUCAGCUGUUGUGCAUAGAGCUGCAGUGAAUACUAGGGCGCACGUAUCUUUGUGAAUUACUGGUUCCUCCAGAGAGAGGCCCAGGCGUGGGAUUGCUGGUGGCAGUUCUGGUUUUAGUUUUUGCGUCCCCUCCGUACUGUUCCCCACAGUGGCAGCACCAGGUGACCUUCCCACCAGCAGUGUAGGUAGGUGGUUUUGUGAUCCCUGGCCUGGAGGACGAGAGUCCAGAGGGAAAGAGAAACUUUCCAUCCCCUCUUCCCUUCCGUGCAGUUCACGGGAUCCACAAACAACGCCUCCGGGAGAGGAACUGUUUUUAUCCUCAACACACUGAGUUGGAACCGCUAUUAAGAAAACUGCACAAGAACCCAGCUGGGAAGUGAAAGAGCCAAAACGCACUCCCACGCCGCGUUACUCCACAGCCUGCUCACUGCCACGUGUUACUACCCCACGGCUACGGGCGAGGGCUCGCUGCCUGGGGGGCACGGCAGCCAGCACCGCAGGCCCAGCUUUUGAGGAAAGAGGAGGCUUUGUUGCCAGGCCCAUGGCCAGGAAACAGGAGGCAGGGCUUCCAUCUGUCUUUCCCGUCCAGGGUUCAGGGUAAAAUUUAAGGGGUUCAGGGGACUUCAGACGUGGAAGCCAAUGGGCUCGUCUCAGUCUGUAGAAGCUGCUGGACGCCAGACUUUCCUCAUUGAAGGACGUCUCCCUUCCUCAAGGGCCCUGCCUGUAACACUUGCAUCCUUUGGGUCGCAGACUGAAGAAUCUUGGUUCCAGGGUCCCCUGAGAACGUGGGUUCCCAGGCUGGGGGUCCAAUCAGAGCUACAGCUGCUGGCCUCCACCACAGCUCACAGCUACGCCAGAUCCGAGCCUUGUCUGUGACCUAAACCACAGCUCACAGCAAUGCUGGAUCCUUCACCCACCAGAGGCCAGGGAUCGAACUUGCAUCCUCAUGGAUCCUCGUCGGCUUCAUUACCACAAGGGGAACUCUCUCGGGUCUCAUUUUAAAACCCAUUCCUGUUGAUGGAUGAGGUCUACGUAUAUCCUCAGGUGUCUUGAGGGACUUGUGAUCCCCCCGCUUCCCCCCCCACCACACACACACACAGCCCUUCCACACGGAUGGCCGGUUGGGGCUGGAGAAACACAGUUCCCUCCAUCUCUUCAGCACCCCCCACCAGGGGGUGAGAAGCAGCCCUGAGUGUGCAAGGACCUCCCCACCCCUCCGUGUUCGUCUCUCUCCCUUCAUCCUCUCCAUCCCCUGCGUCCAGGACACCUCCGAGCCCUCUCCCUGCACUGUCCCCGCUGAUGAGCAGCAAAACCCCUGGCUGACCACGCUGCCUCCACACCAGCCCUGGACGACUUUCUCCUUUUUAAAAAUCUUCCGCCAUGUUCACUUGACCCAAGGAACCCUUGUGUGACCACGUCGAAGUUUCAUCGGCAUCCCAAGGACAAGCCCCGCGCUCCAGCCUCCGACUCGCUGUGCGGGGGUCUCGGGUGUGCCUCGCAGUGACAGCGCUUCUCCGUCUGAAAGUUACCUUGAUCACAUACCCUUGACACAUUUCAGGAUUUCUUAUGAUCGACGGUGGCGAGAGAGGUUGCCGGCAGCCAAGCGUCCCAAACACACCUUGAAAUGUUCCCAUAACUAGUCGAGUCUGUUUUCCGAAUUGAUUUUACGCCGUUAAGAUGGAAUCAACUGCAAACAUCCCACCCUGUCCGUUGCUGAGCUACAUCUCACGGCAGGGGCAGGUCUUGUCGUGGUGGGGGUGGGUCCUGUGGCGGGGACGGGUCUUGUCACAGUGGGGAUGGGUCUUUUCAUGGCGGGGACGGAUCUUGUUGUUGUGGGGACGGGUCUUUUCAUGGCGGGGAUGGGUCCUGUCAUGGUGGGGACGGGUCUUCUUGUUGUGGGCAUGGGUCCUGUCACAGUGGGGACGGGUCUUUUCAUGUCGGGGAUGGGUCUUGUUGCGGGGAUGGGUCUGGUCACAGCAGGGAUGUGCCAGGGGUUGCAGAUAAAGGGCACUGGUCAGCUUGUAGAUGUUGUGCGUAUGGAGCUGCUGUAUAUAUACCCUUGCAUUCACAUUUUUCUCAGUGUAAGUCCUUUUUUGUAGAUUGAACAGCUCAGAGUGGGAAAUUUGGGUCAAACGGUAAAAGUGUGUUUAAUUAUAAAAGAGAGGGACCAGAGUUCCCUGGUGGCUCAGCGGGUUAAGGAUCCAGCGUUGUCACUGCAGUGGGUUCGAUCUCUGGCCCUGGAACCUCCACAUGCUGCAGGCACGGCCAAAAGAAAUUUUUUAAUAAAAAAUUUUAAAAAGAGACAGACUGUCUUCCUGGUGGAUGCGCCAUUCCACACCCCUCAGCAGCGGUGGGAGUUGCAGCUGCCCCACAACCCUUGGGAGGGUCAGUGGUGCUCCCGAGGCUCCCAGAGGCCAUGUGAUGUCUGACUGCACCCAGCUUCAGUCCUCCCGGGGCUGGUGAUGCAAACCUUUUCAAGUGCCUCCCCAGACCCUUCCUGGUGAACCGUCUGUGCAAGUCUCCUUUUUCAUUUUCUGAUUUUGAUUUCAGGCUGCACCCAUGGCAUGUGAAAAUUCCCAGGCCAGGGAUCAAACCCUCAUCACAGCAGUGACCUGAGCCUCUGCUGUGACAACAUCAGACCCUUAACCCUCUGUGCCACCAGGGAACUCCUGCAAGUCUCUUUUUUUUUAGAGUAAAAGUGUAUAUAUGUAAGGAGUUCCCAUCGUGGCGCAGUGGUUAACGAAUCUGACGAGGAACCAUGAGGUUUCGAGUUCGAUCCCUGGCCUUGCUCAGUGGGUUCAGGAUCUGGCGUUGGCAUGAGCUGUGGUGUAGGUCGCAGACGCGGCUUGGUUCCCGUGUUGCUGUGGCUGUGGUGUAGGCCGGUAGCUACAGCUCCGAUCAGACCCCUAGCCUGGAACCUCCAUGUGCCGCGGGUGUGGCCCUAGAAAAGGCAAAAAGACCACAAAAAAGUGCACAUAUGUAAGGUGUACAGCAUGAGUUGUUAUACACACACAUAGUGAAAUGAUUACCACACUAAUUCACAAACACAGUUGCCCUUGAGAGCCCCUGAAAUCUCCCCUCUGAGGAAAUGUCCAGUAUUCCCCACGCUGUUAUUAACCGCAGUCACCGGGCUGCACGCAAGCUCUCUCGACUCACGCACCCCACAGACCUUCAGCCAUCCUCCCCCCCACAACCGCAGUUCUACCCCCGGCUUCUAUGCAUUUGCCGUUUUCAACUUCCACGGGUGUGAAAUCUUUUUUUCUUUUUCUUUCUGUGCCUGGCUUAUGUAAUGCACCCUGCUGUCCUCCAAGCUCACCUGUGUUUGUUUCAAAUGGAAGGACCCCUUUCCUGUUUAAGGCUGCGUCAUAUUCCAUCGUACCUGGACCCCACCAUUUCUUUAUCAGUUCGUCUGUCUGUGGACACGUAGGCUGUUCGGAUCUUUUGCCUGCUUGCUGACUGGCUCAUUUGUCUUUAUGCAGAGAUGUCUUUGUUCCUCUCCCCUCACUGAUUUUAUGAGUAAGCACAUGGAAGCACAGAGAGGUUAAGUGACUUGCCUGAAUAUGCACAGCUGAUAACCAGCAGAGCCAGAAAACAGGAAUCCACGCCACCUCCUUGGUGGGAAGAACAGCAGAGAGGAGAGAGGCCCUUACUCCUUGUGAGUGUGUGUGUGUGUGUGUGUGCACUCAGUUCUGACUUUUACAAACAUGCGGCCAUUCCAUGUUCUGAGACACGCUCCAGACACGGAUUGUUCAAGGAUCUCCACAGGGCCUGGCCGGUACCCACCUCGGGGCCUUUGCACCUGCUAUGCCCUCAGCCAGGAAAGGGGAAGGACUUUCUCUUUCCCGUCAUCCCCUUCUCAUGUCAAGUCUCAGCCCCCACAUCACAGCCUCCGAGGGCCAUGUCCAAACUUACCCUCUGGGGUUGGCUCAUUAAGCUGCUGACCGCCCCUCUUUCCAAGGCGGGUUUAAACUCUACGUGCUCAGGCAGCUUGUUCAGGAUGGGUCAUACUUCAUCCACCACUGGCUCCCGGGAGGGAGGGACCUGGGUGGGCCUGGCCUCACCAGGUGAACCUUCCAAAGCUGAGCCUUGGCUCAGACUGGUCAGCUGCUCCCAGAGAAACACAGAGACAGGGUCCCGCCGGCCUGGACGAGGAAGAAGCAGCUGCGGUUGUGUGCAUCCCUGGAGAAGGACGCAGCCCCCCUCGGACAGGCAGAGAGACGACUCGCCCCCGAGCCCAGCAGCCGCAGGGGAAGGUCUGCCUGCAGCCAGGCGGGGGCGUGUGCGCGCACAUGCGCGUGUGUGCCCUCGGGUAAGGCCCCGGCCUGGAGAACACGGUGACCGACUCAGCGACCCACGCACGGGACCCUGAGCCGGGAAGCCGGCAUACGGUACCCUUUGUGCCGCCUUAAGCGGCUGAGUCGGUGGUGACUUGUGACACAGCAGCAGAAAACCAGCCCGCCUUCCACGGGCCAUUCCACGGACACUGCCUGACCUGCUCAUGGCUGCCCCCGAAGCCCCCACGCAGGGCGGAGGCAGGGGUCCAGGAGGUCUGCUCGGCCCCCCUCGCACCCCCAGACCCUCGUGAUGGGGGCUUCCGUUCUCGAGUUAGAGGGAACGCUUUGGGGCCAUCGGUGAGUUAUGGGACCAGCCGGGUGUCACAGACCUGGUCCCCAGCCUGGCUUUGCUCCUUCUGGCUGGUGUCAGAAGCUCUGUGACCCCAAGCGGUUCCUUCAUAAAGUGGGGCCCGUUCAGUGCCUUCCCCGUGGGCUCGUGGAAUUGAAUAACUGGAUCUGUUUCUAAAGCACUUGGCACAGGGUCUGGAAACGCCGCCGACCUGUUACCUGAAGUCACUGCAUCCAGACCUGCCCUCCCACAUGUAUAACAUCUGUGCCAGGGCACACGCAGGCGCUGUUAAAUGUCUCUCUCACAUACACACACACACAGAGUCCCAAACAGACACCCUCCCCCUUCCAAAGCCCAGAUCAUCAGCAUUUGUUCAGUAGGCACGUCAUUGACACUGAGCAGCCUCAAGACGCUGUGCAGGACGCAUAGGGCAGCAAACUACAUCCUUGCAAAAUACAGCUGCGAAAUGACCGAUUCUCAAACGGUAGAGGGAACACUGCUUAGACACAGAAGGCAGCGGUACAUUUGCCAGACAGAUGGGGAGCGUCGGCGGGUCCCUCCCUGCUCUGGAAAGCUUGCUCGCCCGCGCGCGCGCGCGCUGUGUGCGUGCCAGGCUGCGUUCAAGAGCACCGUUCCCAUCCCCUGGUUGGAAUCUAGCCUGGCCUUCAGCUCGGUGGAAAGGCCGUGGGAUUCUGGAGAGCGGAGGGUCUGUCCUGGCCGCUUGGCCUCGGGUGACAAUUCUUUUUGUUCGAAUCUAAGCAUGGUUGCUCGACAGCCUUGUGCCGGUUUCUGCCGCACAGCAUAGUAACCCACUUGCACACAUGCACACACUCAUUUUUUCACACUGUCUUCCAUCGCAGUCCCUCCCAAGAGACUGGACACGGUUCCCCGUGCUGUACAGCAGGACCUCAUCGCCUAUGCAUUUCCUGUGAAGAUUCUAACGGCUUCUCGCCAUCUGUCCAUAUUCACUGGGGCCCGUCCUGGGUUGAAGGGAGUGAGGCUCUCGGCUUGGGUACAAAUUUUAAGUGUGGGGGUGAGGAGAGUGCAGACAUCUCAGUGAUCAAGAGAGAUAAUUUUUUUUUUUGGUCUUUUUAGGGCCACACCUGCAGCAUAGGGAGGUUCCCAGUCUAGGGGAAUCCAGCUUGGAAUCAGAGCUGUAGCCACCAGCCUACCCCAGAGCCACAGCAAUGCCAGAUCCGAACUGCGUCUGCGACCUACACCACAGCUCACAGCAACACCGGAUCCUUAACCCACUGAGCGAGGCCAGGAAUGGAACUCGCAACCUCAUGGUUCCUGGAUGGAUUCUUUUCCAAUGUACCACGAUGGGAACGCCAAGAGAUAAUAUUUUAAUGCAGCGUUUCCUUAAAAUUUCCCAGUUAAAAUGGUGGGAAAAAUCAACGAGGAAGAAAUGCCCACAUGUUAACGGAAGACGGGCUCUCGCAGGGCUGCGAGUAGGGCAAGGUGAGGCGACGAGUCCUGCAAAGCUCAGGGUGGAAAUGUUGAUGUUGCGCUCCUCACGGACUGGAGGCAUUAUCCUUUCUUUUUUAAGCAAACGGCACUGGCACCGGGGCCUUCUCGUGGCUCAGGAGCCUGAGAAUCAGGCAUGAUCCCUGCAGCAGUUCCCUUCGCUGCUGCAGUGUGGCUGCGCGACCUGGCCGGGGACUUUCGCGUGCCUCUGCUGCGCAGUAUUGCCCUGAGUCCUGAGGACUCGGCUUCCCUUACGUGGUGCGCCCAGGUGAACACCUCGGGGGCCCGCCAGCCCCUCCCCCCGCAGCAUCUCUGAUCCUUUCUCUCUGUCCCCACCGUGAACACCCUCGUUCUUUCCACCACCGCGUCUGGCUGGAGCCGGCACAGCAAACUCCCCGCCACCUGCUGCAUCCUGGUCUGGACACGACCUCCAAGCUGCUGGCACUGAAACUCGGGGUGACUUCCUCCGCAAACCCUCCCCCCAAAGCCCACUCCCAUCAUCCUCUCCCACCGUCUAGAUGUCUCCCCCCUGCCUCCCCCACCCCCAUCCCCACCAUCGCCCAGUUUGGGUUAUAGCAACUGAUGCUGCUAUUUUCUCACCUCUUUUCAGUUCUCUGCGCCAUUUCCCAGGGUGGGGGACCGGUCACACAAGUGUGAUGUCAUUUCAGAUGGUCCGGCUCCAAGGACAAUUAAACUUUACCAUACAAUGUUAUACCCUUGGGAGUUCCCGUGGUGGCUCAGUGGAUUAAGAACCCGACACAGUGUCUGCGAGGAUGCGGGUUCAAUCCCUGGCCUCGCUCAGUAGGUUAAGGACCUGGCACUGCCACAAGCUGUGACUUAGAUAACAGAUGCGGCUCGGAUCCCGCAUUCCUGUGGCUGUGGUGUAGGUGGGCAGCUUCAGCUCCCACUCGACCCCUCGCCUGGGAACCUCCAUGUGCUGCAGGUGCCACUGUAAAAGGAAAAAAAAAAAAAA
rnacentral:lncRNA from 1 species